rnacentral:rRNA from 1 species
AUGUCGGCAAGUCCGGACGAAGAAUUCUCGUUUUCCAAAAAAGAAAUAUUGGCAAAGACACGAAAACCAGAGACCAGAGGAAUAAGACACAGAAAAGAUCAUGCACACAGCCUUUUGGCUCUUGGAAACCAGUGCCCCGGGUGUAUGAAUAUUUUUUUUCCAAAAAAUUAUAUGCACGCAGAUUUCCAUGAAAUGCCCAAACUUGUUUAUGCACAGGACUUAUUUACUCACGUGAGACCUGGUCUCAUAGAAUUCUUUUCCGUUCUGGAUAUUUAUCAGCUCAACAAACAUGUAGAUUACUAA